rnacentral:RNase_P_RNA from 1 species
UGAGCUGGCCGGAUAGUCGCGGUAUUACCGAGGAACGUCCGGACUCCAUAGGACACGGUGGUGGUUAACAGCCACCCGGGGCGACUCGCGGGAUAGUGCCACAGAAAAUAGACCGCCUCCACAUACGUGGAGGUAAGGGUGAAACGGUGGUGUAAGAGACCACCAGCAACUUGGGUGACCGAGUUGGCUUGGAAAACCCCACCGGGAGCAAGACCAAGUAGCGUGCGGGGCUGUCCGUCCAUUCACACGCGGGUAGGUUGCUAGAGAUUGUGAGUAAUCACAGUCCAAGAUAGAUGGCUAUCGUGGGCUCCUGUUGGAGCUCGUACAGAAUCCGGCGUAUAGGCCAGCUCAUCCA